rnacentral:rRNA from 1 species
CGAUGUCGGCUUUUCCUAUCCUGGUCCUGCAGCAGGGGCCAAGGGUGAGGCUGCUCGCCUAUUAAAAGGGAACAUGAGCUGGGUUUAGACCGUCGUGAGACAGGUCGGUCUCUGCCUGAUGGAAGCGCGGCUGUCUGAGGGGAAGUUGCUCUCAGUACGAGAGGAACAGAGCAACGUGGCCACUGGUCUACCGGUUGUCUGAUAAGGCAGGCCGGGCAGCUAAGCCAUUUGGAGUAAGUGCUGAAAGCAUCUAAGCACGAAAUCCAUCCCGAGACAAGACAGCCUUUCGUAAGAUGAAGGUUCGCAGAAGAAGACUGCGUUGAUAGGAUGGAUGUGUAGAUCAC